AGUGAACGCUGGCGGUAGGCCUAACACAUGCAAGUCGAACGGCAGCACAGUAAGAGCUUGCUCUUACGGGUGGCGAGUGGCGGACGGGUGAGGAAUACAUCGGAAUCUACUUUUUCGUGGGGGAUAACGUAGGGAAACUUACGCUAAUACCGCAUACGACCUACGGGUGAAAGCAGGGGAUCUUCGGACCUUGCGCGAUUGAAUGAGCCGAUGUCGGAUUAGCUAGUUGGCGGGGUAAAGGCCCACCAAGGCGACGAUCCGUAGCUGGUCUGAGAGGAUGAUCGGCGACACUGGAACUGAGACACGGUCCAGACUCCCACGGGAGGCAGCAGUGGGGAAUAUUGGACAAUGGGCGCAAGCCUGAUCCAGCCAUACCGCGUGGGUGAAGAAGGCCUUCGGGUUGUAAAGACCUUUUGUUGGGAAAGAAAAGCAGCAGGUUAAUACCCCGCUGUUCUGACGGUACCCAGAGAAUAAGCACCGGCUAACUUCGUG
rnacentral:rRNA from 1 species